AGCAUCACGCCGGAUGAACGGAUUACUCUGAUGAGGUAAAUCAUAGGUCUAACUUACCUUGAUGCUU
rnacentral:tRNA from 1 species